CAGCCGUAAACUAUGCUCGCUAGGUGUCAGGCAUGGCGCGACCGUGUCUGGUGCCGCAGGGAAGCCGUGAAGCGAGCCACCUGGGAAGUACGGCCGCAAGGCUGAACUUAAAGGAAUUGGCGGGGGAGCACCACAACGGGUGGAGCCUGCGGUUUAAUUGGACUCAACGCCGGACAACUCACCGGGAACGACAGCAAUAUGUAGGCCAGGCUGAAGACCUUGCCUGAAUCGCUGAGAGGAGGUGCAUGGCGUAGACGUCU
rnacentral:rRNA from 1 species